CGUGAGAUGUUGGGUUAAGUCCCGCAACGAGCGCAACCCUUGCCAUUAGUUGCUACGAAGGGCACUCUAAUGGGACUGCCGGUGACAAACCGGAGGAAGGUGGGGAUGACGUCAGGUCAUCAUGGCCCUUAUGGGUAGGGCUACACACGUCAUACAAUGGCCGGUACAGAGGGCUGCCAACCCGCGAGGGGGAGCCAAUCCCAGAAAACCGGUCGUAGUCCGGAUCGCAGUCUGCAACUCGACUGCG
rnacentral:rRNA from 1 species